rnacentral:misc_RNA from 1 species
CGGAGCCCCUCAUCCUCUCCUCCCCUCAUCUCCUCACCCCCUCUAUCCCUUCCAACACCGAGCCGCUUCUCGUUGUGACAGGGCCCAGCACGCACGAGAUGGGGGCGGGUCAGGGCUGGCUGUCGCUGCGGAUGUCGGCGUUCGGGUCGUGAAUGGCGGUGCUGCGCCGGGGCGGCCUGCGGCGGUGAACGUGUUUGUGCCCUCCGUAUGGUGGGCGGGGUGCCCGUGCGGCCCAAACGUG